rnacentral:rRNA from 1 species
AGUGAACGCUGGCGGUAGGCCUAACACAUGCAAGUCGAACGGCAGCACAGUAAGAGCUUGCUCUUACGGGUGGCGAGUGGCGGACGGGUGAGGAAUACAUCGGAAUCUACUUUUUCGUGGGGGAUAACGUAGGGAAACUUACGCUAAUACCGCAUACGACCUACGGGUGAAAGCAGGGGAUCUUCGGACCUUGCGCGAUUGAAUGAGCCGAUGUCGGAUUAGCUAGUUGGCGGGGUAAAGGCCCACCAAGGCGACGAUCCGUAGCUGGUCUGAGAGGAUGAUCAGCCACACUGGAGCUGAGACACGGUCCAGACUCCUACGGGAGGCAGCAGUGGGGAAUAUUGGACAAUGGGCGGAAGCCUGAUCCAGCCAUACCGCGUUGGUGAAGAAGGCCUUCGGGUUGUAAAGCCCUUUUGUUGGGAAAGAAAAGCAGCAGGUUAAUAUCCCGCUGUUCUGACGGUACCCAAAGAAUAAGCACCGGCUAACUUCGUG